AGGUGUGCCUUGAGGCGUGGCUUCCGGAGCUAACGCGUUAAGUCGACCGCCUGGGGAGUACGGCCGCAAGGUUAAAACUCAAAUGAAUUGACGGGGGCCCGCACAAGCGGUGGAGCAUGUGGUUUAAUUCGAUGCAACGCGAAGAACCUUACCUACUCUUGACAUCCAGAGAACUUAGCAGAGAUGCUUUGGUGCCUUCGGGAACUCUGAGACAGGUGCUGCAUGGCUGUCGUCAGCUCGUGUUGUGAAAUGUUGGGUUAAGUCCCGCAACGAGCGCAACCCUUAUCCUUUGUUGCCAGCGGUCCGGCCGGGAACUCAAAGGAGACUGCCAGUGAUAAACUGGAGGAAGGUGGGGAUGACGUCAAGUCAUCAUGGCCCUUACGAGUAGGGCUACACACGUGCUACAAUGGCGCAUACAAAGAGAAGCGACCUCGCGAGAGCAAGCGGACCUCAUAAAGUGCGUCGUAGUCCGGAUUGGAGUCUGCAACUCGACUCCAUGAAGUCGGAAUCGCUAGUAAUCGUAGAUCAGAAUGCUACGGUGAAUACGUUCCCGGGCCUUGCACUCCCCGCCCGUCA
rnacentral:rRNA from 1 species